AAUGAACGCUGGCGGCGCGCCUAAUACAUGCAAGUCGAGCGAGAAGACGUAGCAAUACGUUUGUAAAGCGGCGAACGGGUGAGGAAUACAUGGGUAACCUACCCUCGAGUGGGGAAUAACUAGCCGAAAGGUUAGCUAAUACCGCGUACGCUUCUUGGACUUCGGUUCAGGGAGGAAAGCGAUGCCGAGGGUAUCGCGCUCUUGGAUGGGCUCAUGUCCUAUCAGCUUGUUGGGAGGUAACGGCUCACCAAGGCUUCGACGGGUAGCUGGUCUGAGAGGACGAUCAGCCACACUGGCACUGCGACACGGGCCAGACUCCUACGGGAGGCAGCAGUAAGGAAUAUUGCGCAA
rnacentral:rRNA from 1 species